AUACGGAGGGAGCGAGCGUUAAUCGGAAUUACUGGGCGUAAAGCGCGCGUAGGCGGUUUAGUAAGUCGGAUGUGAAAGCCCCGGGCUUAACCUGGGGAUUGCAUUCGAUACUGCCCGGCUAGAGUAUGGGAGAGGGAAGUGGAAUUUCCGGUGUAGCGGUGAAAUGCGUAGAUAUCGGAAGGAACACCAGUGGCGAAGGCGGCUUCCUGGCCCAAUACUGACGCUCAGGUGCGAAAGCGUGGGGAGCAAACAGGAGUAGAUACCCCGGUAGUCC
rnacentral:rRNA from 1 species